CAGACCCACCAUUUAGAAGCAUUUAAGUAGCUUGUGUAUUAAUAUGACAAAGAAACAAAAUGUUAGUGUACCUUUUAGCUCCUGAACACAAAACCACAGUGACAGUAAACUAGGUCAAGGCAUGGUAACAGAGAGAGUUAGUCUUGGUCUUUGAGAGUAAAUCCCCCUUACCUCCUAGUCAUGACUCAUUGACCUAACCAGAAAGUUCAGAUGGACCAAUGCUGCAAAAUAGCAAACAUCAUGGUGUGUGAUCACCGUCGUGUGCUGCUGAUACUUGCAAUGGGCACUAGACCUAUCUUCUUGUUGACAACAGAUUUUUAUUGUUCCUGUUGGAUCUGGAUCUGGAUGAUGGGAGACGAUGCUGGACGAGGGGAAAGUGUGCUGUGCAUACACCUCUGCUUUAGGCAAGGAAAAAAGUUGUGGACUACCUUCCCUGCUGAAGGAUGGUGAGCUCUCUUUUUCGGUUUCCCUUCUCACAGGGAGGAAGGGAAACAUGCAAAAGAUCAGAGGCCAACGGAUAAGAAGCACCACUGUUAAGUAGCAUGGUGUUGUAGUCAGAUCAUGGUUUAUUCAAGAAAUAUAUCGCUUACAUAUGCACAGACAUUUGGGUGUCCUAAAUUUGUCUACAAGGCAUCUGAAAAAUAUGAUAGAGACAUCAAAGAGUAUUCAAAAACUCCAAAAAGGGGAAAGCAAUGUAUUUAUUGUACUAAUUUUCAGAUUAACUAUCAGAUUUAUUGCUUCUAAUUUAGAAGUACUUUACCUGGAAAAAUGUCUUGAGGUUCAAAAGAAAUCCUAUUGAGCAUAUUUUAAAAUGUAACAUUGUUUAACCUCACAUUUAUUUGUCCUCUAUUUGCAAACUUUGUGAAACCCUGAGUCAGCUAUAUAAUAAAUAAAUUGCAAGAGCAAUCAAUAUUUAUUGAUCUGAGGACAUAAAAACAUAGAAUGACCUGGUUCUUUUCCCUCAUGACACUUUGCCCUCCUACAUGCUAUUCAGGUUUAUUUUUAUUAUUAUUUCCUAUCUUCCAAAGGAUUCCUGGAAAAUGUACUAAUCUCCUAUUCUAAGAAGUGGACAAGCUCUGCCAAAUACCAGACAUGACAAGAAGGCACAUAUUGUACACCAUGUUACAAAAUUACAAUACAUUAUUCUAUAUUAACAAUAUAGUCUCCUAUCUGGCAUUAAGUUCCUGAAUGACACAGUGGAAGUAAGCUU